CGCAUCUGUGCAUGCAGCAUAUCAAUAAGCGGAGGAAAAGAAACUAACAAGGAUUCCCUUAGUAACGGCGAGUGAAGGCGGGAAGAGCUCAAAUUUGAAAUCUUCAAGGUUUUACCUUGACGAAUUGUAGUUUAAAGAAGUGUUUUCUGUUGAAGUUUUGGUAAAAGUUCUUUGGAAUAGGACAUCAUAGAGGGUGAGAAUCCCGUAUUUGACCAUUUACUUUUCAGCUUUGUGAUACACUUUCAAAGAGUCGGAUUGUUUGGGAAUGCAGUCCAAAAUGGGUGGUAAAUUUCAUCUAAAGCUAAAUAUUGGCGAGAGACCGAUAGCGAACAAGUACCGUGAGGGAAAGAUGAAAAGAACUUUGAAAAGAGAGUUAAACAGUACGUGAAAUUGUCAAAAGGGAAGCGUUUGACACCAGUGUUGUUUUUCUGAAAAUCAAUUAAAGAACUGUUUAUGCUAAGUUGUUUAGACUUUAUCAGCUAACUGUUUAGUUUUGAGCUUUUCUUUAAUGCACUUUUCAGUUAACAAGUCAACAUCAAUUUCUUUUGCUGUAAAAAAGCUUGAGGAAGGUGGCUUGAGAUUCGUCUUAAGUGUUUAUAGCCUCUUGCCUAUGCAGUCGGAGAGAUUGAGGUCUGCAGCGUAGAUCCUUCGGGGUUAAAUGCAUUUGUGCUAAGUUAUAGCAUUUUAUAGACAACUUGUUGACUAUGAUUAGUCUUGUAGCUUACUCGCUUAUGCUAUUUUACCUACGCUUAGGAUGUUGAUGUGAUACUGCGAGCA
rnacentral:rRNA from 1 species